UGGGGAAUUUUGGACAAUGGGCGAAAGCCUGAUCCAGCAAUGCCGCGUGUGUGAAGAAGGCCUUCGGGUUGUAAAGCACUUUUGUCCGGAAAGAAAUCCUUGGCUCUAAUACAGUCGGGGGAUGACGGUACCGGAAGAAUAAGCACCGGCUAAUCUACGUGCCAGCAGCCGCGGUAAUACGUAGGGUGCAAGCGUUAAUCGGAAUUACUGGGCGUAAAGCGUGCGCAGGCGGUUUGCUAAGACCGAUGUGAAAUCCCCGGGCUCAACCUGGGAACUGCAUUGGUGACUGGCAGGCUAGAGUAUGGCAGAGGGGGGUAGAAUUCCACGUGUAGCAGUGAAAUGCGUAGAGAUGUGGAGGAAUACCGAUGGCGAAGGCAGCCCCCUGGGCCAAUACUGACGCUCAUGCACGAAAGCGUGGGGAGCAAACAGGAUUAGAUACCCUGGUAGUCCACGCCCUAAACGAUGUCAACUAGUUGUUGGGGAUUCAUUUCCUUAGUAACGUAGCUAACGCGUGAAGUUGACCGCCUGGGGAGUACGGUCGCAAGAUUAAAACUCAAAUGAAUUGACGGGGUCAUGCUGUUUCCU
rnacentral:rRNA from 1 species